CCUAGCAGAAAGGGGGCAGGGGCGGUGGAGAAGAAGAAGAAAAAAAAAUGAGGAGAAUAAGGAGAAAGAAAGAAGCAUCACGCAUGGUGUAUGUAGCAAGAAAAGAAAAGUUGCAUGCAGUGUCGGGCACGUGGCCCGUGUUGCCGUCGAAAAAGAAGAAGAAAAAAAGAGGAAAAGAAUAAGAAGAAGAAGAAGAGAAGAGGAAGAAGAGGAAGAAAAAGAAAGAAGAUGAGGAAGGAAGCAUGGCACGCAUUUGGAAGAAGAGCUGCAAGCGGUGUGCAGUGCCAAGGGCAUGACACACGCGGCUAGGAGAAAAGAGAUGCGAGUGGUGCGCAGUGUUGGGUGUGUGGUGUCGAGCGCAAAGCGCGCAUUGCUGAAGAAUAAGAAGCAAAGUGCAUGUUGGUGGACCAGAUCCGCAUGAGGCAGACCAUGGCGCGGAAUUCCGGAUCCAUCCAAAGAUCUGUACGAGGCCAAAAAUUAAGGAAUUGAACAGAGAGAUUGAAAUCGCACUCUUUCGAGCCAGAAGCCCGAAUUCGACGCCGAGUUUGGAUUUUUGGGAAUAGAAAAUUGAAAAGGGAGCCGACUAUAUGGAACCAAAGUCAUUCGAAAGCUUUCCGAUUUCUUCUUUCAUUGGAGAUUAUGGUAAGAAUUGAGAAUGAUGAUAUAUAUGAAUGAGAAUGAUAUGUAUGGUACCUAAAUAUAAAUAUGUUGGAAUGGAUAAUGAAAAUAAUGUGGUUAUUGAUUGUUUUUUUUGUUAUACUUUGCGAUAAUGAUGAUGAGUAUGGUUGUCUUGCAAAUUGAAUUUCUAUGAAUAUAAAAUUUGUAUUUAUUUGAUUAAACAUGUAUGAAUGUAUAUUUGCAUA